rnacentral:rRNA from 1 species
GACAGAGGAUGCAAGCGUUAUCCGGAAUGAUUGGGCGUAAAGCGUCUGUAGGUGGCUUUUCAAGUCCGCCGUCAAAUCCCAGGGCUCAACCCGGGACAGGCGGUGGAAACUACCAAGCUAGAGUAUGGUAGGGGCAGAGGGAAUUCCCGGUGGAGCGGUGAAAUGCGUAGAGAUCGGGAAGAACACCAGCGGCGAAAGCGCUCUGCUGGGCCAAGACUGACACUGAGAGACGAAAGCUAGGGGAGCAAAUGGG